GUAGUACGUUGAGCCUUGUUGGAGUACCGCCGAACAUUAUGCGACAUAUGCGGCGGAUUUUCAGCCAAUUAUGCACGAGGCGUACUAGCCAGCAUCGUCGUUGCCGACUAUACAGGCAAAUCCAGCGUAUGCUCGACAUAAAGGUCAUCCAAUGAGCUCCCGUAUAUACAAUGAGAUGGACGCUAGGGAAGGUAGGAAGAGGAGUACGUGUAGUAUAUGUCAUCAAGAAGGACAUAAUCGCACAAGGUGUCCGAGAAGAACCCACUGGGCCGAUGCAGCUGGACUGUUGCGUUGAUGUCGUAUGCAGUUUGAGACUUUUUCACACCCUUUUUUUUUUUGUAUAUACAUAUUCUGAUGCAAUGAUGCAUUUUCCAGGAUUGAUCCAAGGUCGUCCGAUCCGAGCGUUUUGACGAUGGGCGACCAUCACAGGGCCAAUCGAGCGUGGGCUGAUAGGCAUGCGGAGCCCCUAUUCUGCCGAGGGGGCACGCAGUUUGCGAAGCAUUAGUUAGAGGCAGACCCCUGCAUUGUCCAGCUGAUACACGAUGCAUGGUUUUAUGGCAUUUAUCGAAUUGCUCAUAUUCAGCUUGAUUGGCAUCUUGUCACAGCAUUGGUGGAGCGAUGGAGACCCGAGACGCACACGUUCCACCUACCUCAUGGCGAGGCCACCGUCACAUUACAGGACGUAGCUAUUUUGUUCGGGUUGCCGAUUGAUGGGCGAGCCGUCACUAGUCGCACUGCCGGACCAGUGGAGGGACCUACAGACCGUUAGGGCCGACUCGCCCUGCGUACUAUGUGCGAGCGUUUGUUAGGCGUCGUUCCGCCUGACAACGAGUUGAUUGGUGCACGCAUCUGUAUGCGAUUCCUCGAGCGGGAUGCGUUUCGUGAGCUCCCAGCACAUGCAGAUUUUCAGAUGAUAGCAUGCCACGCACGAGCCCACUUGUUGCGUUAUAUUUGUGGGGUGAUCUUCUCUGAUGUUUUCGGCAGUUAUGCGCAUCUAAUGUUCCUUCCACUCCUUGAGGAUUUCGGAGCGUGUCACUCAUACAGUUGGGGGUCCGCCACUUUGGCGUGGUUGUACAGUGAAAUGUGUCAUGCCGCAGACCACUCGAAGACACAGAUUGCGGGCCCCCUUCGCUUACUCCAGGUUUAGGCUUGGGAGAGAUUUCCUUCAUUCGCGCCUACGCGGCGAGGUUUCCUGCAGAUUGAGAGGGGUCAGGACGGUCGUCCGGUUGAUCCUCUCCCACUCGCAUACCGAUGGAGGGACAACUUGAGGGCAUCGAUGGUUGUGCUUCACACAUUACCCUGGUACAAGUUCAAGUUGGACAUGCACCGAGAGCAUGAGUUUUUAUGGAUGCCCUACACGGAAGAUAUUUUAGCCGACAUGCCGCCUACCUAUGCAGACGGGAGGGACCUGUGGGUAGCUCGAGUGCCACUAAUAUGCUUUCAUAUUAUUGAGUGGUAUCUCCCCAAUCGAGUCAUGCGACAGUUCGGGUUUCGACAGGUCAUUCCCGCCCCAUUUAUGACUUCGGGGGUAGAUAUUGUUGGGACGAUCUCCACGGCAUGGUUUGAUGUUGCCGUUCGAUUUUUUAUUAUGAAACAUAGAAUCUUAAGUAAUAUCAAUUAAGCAAAUAAUAAAUAAA